GCCAGGCGCGGUGGUGCACCCCUGUAAAUCCAGCAACUCAGGAGGCUGAAGCAGGAGGAUCACAAGUUCAAGGCUAGCCUCAGCACCUUAGCAAGGCCCUGAGCAACUUAGUGAGACCCUGUCUCAA
rnacentral:sRNA from 1 species